GAAGGAUUUGUUUCUGGAGAUCCUGUCUUGGUGGGAGCUUUUCCCUGCAGACCCAGAAUCUUCUGAGAUGGGUGAACUCUUGAAACUUGCUCCUGCCUAAAAUCUCCCUAGAGCAAAGACAAGCUGAAUUAUAUUGGAAUUAAAGGGAACAACCUGCUCUAAGCAGGAAAGAUUGUGCUGUAGGCUCUUACGGAGUCAUCAGGAGAAUCACAGAAUGACUGAGGCUUGAAGUGACUUCUGGGUCUGUCUGGUCCAACCCCAUUACUCAAGUAAGGACACUCAGAGCUGGUUGCUCAGGAUCGUGUCCAGACAGUGCUAGAAGAUCUCAAACAAGGGAGACUCCACAACCUCUCUGAAGAGAAGAUGCUCUGAAAACCCGGGCUGGUGAUCUAUGACUCACAUUGCUGAAAAAGGUGAAGACUUCCCAAGGUUUCUUCCAACACUGUACAAAGGAUGCUUUCCAAAUCUCACUGUUGGCUUUAGCAUAAGAGAAAGAACAUUCUCUAUCCUGCAGCGAUACAUUUGUGAUGCAGCAAAGAAGCAGAAAAAAUAACUGUGUAUCUCAAGUGAAGGAAGAACGUUCUGACUCCUACAAACAACUGAAGCACAGAAAUGCUGCUUUUCAGUAGAGCCAGAAUAUCAAUAGAAAGGCACAAAUAUUAUUUGGAUAUCAGUGGUAAACAAGUAAUUUUGCACUCCUCAGGACACAGCAGUAAAAUAGAUAAGUGACAAAAGACACACAUUUCCAGGAAUGACCACUGUCUUCCAGCCUUCUCUCUGUCCCUAUCCACCCAGAAGCAUAUAUCUUCACCAAAAACCUUCUUGUAUAACCCUUUUGGAAAGAUUUAUAGUUGAUACUGGAUUGGGCUUUUCCUAGCCAAACCAUGACUUAAGUGAGACCUCUCAAUUAGCAGUGUGGCUACCUUUACUCAGCAGUGCUUCAUGAUUUCAGCCAUGGGCUCUACGUAUGAUUGGUGAGGAGGAUAAGCACUUCAGAGCAUGGCUCAGCCUACUUCAAGUAGGAUGGAAGUACCUCUAUGUCCCCGCUGACAUGGAGCUGAAGAAAACUGCUUCCUUCUGAAGUUUCUCAUUUCAGUGUCUACAGUGGGAUAAGACAAAGACUGGUAAAGGUGUGACCUUCUCUGGCAAUAUGAUCCAAUGUCUCAUCACUGUCCGUGCUGGGAAGUGGUGUCCGAUUGCAAGAAAUCUCACCUGCUUCUGCUGAUGUGUUCCAGCAAAGCUGCCAGCAAAUGCCUAUCCACAGCUAAAUGGAAAGAGUGUACAUUGUGAAGAAACAUCUACAAUGAAGCGAGUGGGAAACGUCAGCCCCAUUCACUUAAGUGGGGAUGUUCCAGCUGUUCUCCACAGUGGAUGGGCUCAAUACCUGGCUCCUAAGCUCUAUUUUUGAUUGCACAUUGCCAGGUGAAGGGCCAGGAUGUACACUGACCAGCCUUAGAAGCAAUACCACAGCUGUGUUCCUAAGCACUCAAUCUUGUGAGUUAAAAAAUCCUUUUGAAAGGGGGGAAAAAAAUGGCAAAUUAAAGGUUUAAAGAUUUAAAAAUACAUAUUCUGAUCUAUUACAGUUCUGGUCUGUUACUAGUUGCUGCAAGCAAUAAAUUCUUUCACUGGAACUCUGCUCUGCCUGUAGAGGUUAAAUCAGAUC